UACGAAGGGGGGCUAGCGUUGCUCGGAAUGACUGGGCGUAAAGGGGCGCGUAGGCGGAUAGUACAGUCAGAUGUGAAAUUCCCCGGGCUCAACCUGGGGGGCUGCAUUUGAUACGUGCUGUCUUGAGUCCGGAAGAGGGUGGUGGAAUUCCCAGUGUAGAGGUGAAAUUCGUAGAUAUUGGGAAGAACACCAGUGGCGAAGGCGGCUAACUGGUCCGGUACUGACGCUGAGGUGCGAAAGCGUGGGGGAGCAAACAGG
rnacentral:rRNA from 1 species